UACGUAGGGGCAAGCGUUAUCCGGAUUUACUGGGUGUAAAGGGAGCGCAGACGGCAGUGCAAGUCUGAUGUGAAAGCCCGGGGCUCAACCCCGGAACUGCAUUGGAAACUGUACAGCUUGAGUGUCGGAGAGGUAAGCGGAAUUCCUAGUGUAGCGGUGAAAUGCGUAGAUAUUAGGAGGAACACCGGUGGCGAAGGCGGCUUACUGGACGAUGACUGACGUUGAGGCUCGAAAGCGUGGGGAGCAAACAGGAUUAGAUACCCUGGUAGU
rnacentral:rRNA from 1 species